GACGAACGCUGGCGGCGUGCCUAAUACAUGCAAGUAGAACGCUGAAGGAGGAGCUUGCUCUUCUGGAUGAGUUGCGAACGGGUGAGUAACGCGUAGGUAACCUGCCUGGUAGCGGGGGAUAACUAUUGGAAACGAUAGCUAAUACCGCAUAAGAGUAGAUGUUGCAUGACAUUUGCUUAAAAGGUGCAAUUGCAUCACUACCAGAUGGACCUGCGUUGUAUUAGCUAGUUGGUGGGGUAACGGCUCACCAAGGCGACGAUACAUAGCCGACCUGAGAGGGGGAUCGGCCACACUGGGACUGAGACACGGCCCAGACUCCUACGGGAGGCAGCAGUAGGGAAUCUUCGGCAAUGGACGGAAGUCUGACCGAGCAACGCCGCGUGAGUGAAGAAGGUUUUCGGAUCGUAAAGCUCUGUUGUAAGAGAAGAACGAGUGUGAGAGUGGAAAGUUCACACUGUGACGGUAUCUGACCAGAAAGGGACGGCUAACUACGUG
rnacentral:rRNA from 1 species